GCUCACUUCAGCAGCACAUAUACUAAAAUUGGCACAAUACAGAGAUUAGCAUGGCCCCUGCGCUAGGAUGACAGGCAAAAUCGUGAAGUGUUCCAUAUUUUA